rnacentral:rRNA from 1 species
UACGGGGGGGGCAAGCGUUGUUCGGAAUUACUGGGCGUAAAGGGCUCGUAGGCGGCCAACUAAGUCAGACGUGAAAUCCCUCGGCUUAACCGGGGAACUGCGUCUGAUACUGGAUGGCUUGAGUUUGGGAGAGGGAUGCGGAAUUCCAGGUGUAGCGGUGAAAUGCGUAGAUAUCUGGAGGAACACCGGUGGCGAAGGCGGCAUCCUGGACCGAAACUGACGCUGAGGAGCGAAAGCCAGGGGAGCAAAGCGGGAUUAAGAA